GGACCUGUAGCCUAGUGGAUAGGGCAACAGCCUCCUAUGCCGAUGAAGAAUAUUACGCUAAUUGAUCAGUGAUCUGAAGAGAGUUAGCAGAGGCGGAGAAAGCUGUAGGUCGGGGGUUCGAAUCCCCCCAGGUCCG
rnacentral:tRNA from 1 species